rnacentral:rRNA from 1 species
UACGACUACAUAUCAGGCAUAUCAAUAAGCGGAGGAAAAGAAACUAACAAGGAUUCCCUUAGUAACGGCGAGUGAAGCGGGAAGAGCUCAAAUUUGAAAUCUUCAAGGUUUUACCUUGACGAAUUGUAGUUUAAAGAAGUGUUUUCUGUUGAAGUUUCGGUAAAAGUUCUUUGGAAUAGGACAUCAUAGAGGGUGAGAAUCCCGUAUUUGACCGUUAUUUUCAGCUGUGUGAUACACUUUCAAAGAGUCGGAUUGUUUGGGAAUGCAGUCCAAAAUGGGUGGUAAAUUUCAUCUAAAGCUAAAUAUUGGCGAGAGACCGAUAGCGAACAAGUACCGUGAGGGAAAGAUGAAAAGAACUUUGAAAAGAGAGUUAAACAGUACGUGAAAUUGUCAAAAGGGAAGCGUUUGACACCAGUGUUGUUUUCUCGAAAAUCAAUUAAAAAUGGCUUGAUUUUGUGUUGUAUUGACCUUAAAAGCUUUCUUCACUUUUUUCAUGUCUUUUUUAAUGCACUUUUCGUUUAACAAGUCAGCAUCAGUUUCUUUUGUUGUAAAAAGGUCAUUGGAAGGUGGCUUUCCUUUCGGAUGAAAGUGUUUAUAGCCUUUGACUUCCUGCAAUCGGAGAGAUUGAGGUCUGCAGCGUAGAUCCCUUCUGGAUUAGAUACAUUUGUGCUAAGUUAUAGUUUUUCAUAGACAACAUGUUGACUAUGAUUAGUCAUGUAACUUACUCGCUUAUGCUAAUUUUACCUACGCUUAGGAUGUUGACGCGCGUGUGUGCGUG